rnacentral:rRNA from 1 species
CAAUCUACCUUUUACUGGAGGAUAGCCCUAAGAAAUUGGGAUUAAUACUGCAUAAUAAGAUUUAGUUGCAUGACUAGAUUUUCAAAGCUUCGGCGGUAAGAGAUGAGUAUGCGUAAUAUUAGCUAGUUGGUAAGGUAACGGCUUACCAAGGCUACGAUAUUUAGGGGGCCUGAGAGGGUUAUCCCCCACACUGGUACUGAGACACGGACCAGACUCCUACGGGAGGCAGCAGUGAGGAAUAUUGGUCAAUGGAGGCAACUCUGAACCAGCCAUGCCGCGUGAAGGAAGAAUGUCCUAUGGAUUGUAAACUUCUUUUAUUUGGGAAGAAACCUACCCACGUGUGGGUAGCUGACGGUACCAAAAGAAUAAGGACCGGCUAACUCCGUGCCAGCAGCCGCGGUAAUACGGAGGGUCCAAGCGUUAUCCGGAAUCAUUGGGUUUAAAGGGUUCGCAGGCGGUUUAUUAAGUCAGUGGUGAAAUCCCAUAGCUCAACUAUGGAACUGCCAUUGAUACUGAUAGACUUGGAUGUAGUUGGAGUAGGCGGAAUGUGUAGUGUAGCGGUGAAAUGCUUAGAUAUUACACAGAACACCGAUAGCGAAGCAGCUUACUAAACUAUAAUUGACGCUCAUGAACGAAAGCGUGGGGAGCGAACAGGAUUAGAUACCCUGGUAGUCCACGCCGUAAACGAUGAUUACUCGAUAU